rnacentral:tRNA from 1 species
UCCCGUGUAGCUCAGUUGGUAGAACGUGGCACUUGUGUUGCUAGGGGUGUGGGUUCAAUUCCCACAGGGGAC